UACAGAGGGUGCGAGCGUUAAUCGGAAUUACUGGGCGUAAAGCGCGCGUAGGCGGCUUUGCAAGUCGGGUGUGAAAUCCCCAGGCUUAACCUGGGAACUGCAUUCGAGACUGCAUUGCUAGAGUAUGGGAGAGGGAAGUGGAAUUUCCGGUGUAGCGGUGAAAUGCGUAGAUAUCGGAAGGAACAUCAGUGGCGAAGGCGCUCUGCUGGACCAUAACUGACACUCAGGGACGAAAGCUAGGGGAGCGAAUGGG
rnacentral:rRNA from 1 species